CGUUGUUGAAUUCAAGAUGGAAGAGAGCAUGAAAAAAGCUGCUGAAGUUCUAAACAAGCAUAGUCUGAGUGGAAGACCACUGAAAGUCAAAGAAGAUCCUGAUGGUGAACAUGCCAGGAGAGCAAUGCAAAAGGUGAUGGCUACGACUGGUGGGAUGGGUAUGGGACCAGGUGGCCCAGGAAUGAUUAAUAUCCCACCCAGUAUCCUAAAUAAUCCUAACAUCCCAAAUGAGAUUAUCCAUGCAUUACAGGCUGGAAGACUUGGAAGCACAGUAUUUGUAGCAAAUCUGGAUUAUAAAGUUGGCUGGAAGAAACUGAAGGAAGUUUUUAGUAUGGCUGGUGUGGUGGUCCGAGCAGACAUUCUUGAGGAUAAAGAUGGAAAAAGUCGUGGAAUAGGCACUGUUACUUUUGAACAGUCCAUUGAAGCUGUGCAAGCUAUAUCUAUGUUUAAUGGCCAACUGCUAUUUGACAGACCAAUGCACGUGAAAAUGGAUGAGAGGGCCUUACCAAAGGGAGAUUUUUUCCCUCCUGAGCGUCCACAACAACUUCCCCAUGGACUUGGUGGUAUUGGCAUGGGGUUAGGACCAGGAGGGCAGCCUAUUGACGCUAAUCAUUUGAAUAAAGGCAUUGGAAUGGGCAACAUAGGACCCGCAGGAAUGGGAAUGGAAGGCAUAGGAUUUGGAAUAAAUAAAAUGGGAGGCAUGGAGGGACCCUUUGGUGGUGGUAUGGAAAACAUGGGUCGAUUUGGAUCUGGGAUGAACAUGGGCAGAAUAAAUGAGAUGGCGCGUGGCAUGGGUGGAGGAUUUGAGAGAGACUUUGCCAGAAAUGAAAUGGGAAUGUCUCGAAGCUUUGGAGAGCCCCUUGGCAGAGGAAUGGAAAUCCUAAGUAAUGCACUGAAGAGAGGAGAGAUCAUUGCAAAGCAGGGAGGAGGUGGAGGCGGAGGCAGUGUCCCUGGAAUUGAGAGGAUGGGCCCCGGCAUUGACCGCAUUGGGGGUGCCGGCAUGGAGCGCAUGGGUGCAGGCCUGGGCCACGGCAUGGAUCGUGUGGGCUCCGAGAUUGAGCGCAUGGGCCUGGUCAUGGACCGCAUGGGCUCAGUCGAGCGCAUGGGCUCCGGCAUCGAGCGCAUGGGCCCGCUGGGCCUCGACCACAUGGCCUCCAGCAUCGAGCGCAUGGGCCAGACCAUGGAGCGCAUCGGCUCUGGCGUGGAGCGCAUGGGUGCCGGCAUGGGCUUUGGCCUGGAGCGUAUGGCCGCACCCAUUGACCGUGUGGGCCAGACCAUCGAGCGCAUGGGCUCUGGCGUGGAGCGAAUGGGCCCUGCCAUCGAGCGCAUGGGCCUGGGCAUGGAGCGCAUGGUGCCCGCAGGCAUGGGGGCAGGCCUGGAGCGCAUGGGCCCUGUGAUGGAUCGCAUGGCCACCGGCCUGGAGCGCAUGGGCGCCAACAACCUGGAGCGCAUGGGCCUGGAGCGUAUGGGCGCCAACAGUCUCGAGCGCAUGGGCCUGGAGCGCAUGGGCGCCAACAGCCUGGAGCGCAUGGGUCCCGCCAUGGGCCCGGCCCUGGGCGCUGGCAUUGAGCGCAUGGGCCUGGCCAUGGGUGGUGGUGGCGGUGCCAGCUUUGACCGUGCCAUCGAGAUGGAGCGUGGCAACUUUGGAGGAAGCUUCGCAGGUUCUUUUGGUGGAGCUGGAGGCCAUGCUCCUGGGGUGGCCAGGAAGGCCUGCCAGAUAUUUGUGAGAAAUCUCCCAUUUGAUUUUACAUGGAAGAUGCUAAAAGACAAGUUCAACGAAUGUGACGCACGUGGAGAGACACUGAGAGACCUGGAGGCAAACCUGAGGGCAGGGCCCCACAGUCCCAGACACCCGGCUGAUGGUCAGGGAUGCCCACCAGGACCGGCAGGCAGGCCCCCGAGCAUGGGCACGUGCACCAGCCCUGGCACAGGAAGUCCGUCCCAGGAGAAGCUGAAGGGCCUUCAGAACUUGGAGCUGUUCAACUUCGAGGAGUCACAGCAGCUGCGCUAACGGGAGCAGGAUUUUGAGUCGUUACCAGAGCUUGGCUACCUGGAUGGCUUCGAUGAUGGGGACCCUGCUCAACUCUGAGGCUGAGGGCAAUGGGGCAGGCAGGCGGGCAGGCCGGCUCCUGGGGCCAGGUGGGACACGUCCAAAGGGUGCCCAGAUCUCCCUGUUACCCUUCCCAGGAGAAGCUGAAGGGCCUUCAGAACUUGGAGCUGUUCAACUUCGAGGAGUCACAGCAGCUGCGCUAACGGGAGCAGGAUUUUGAGUCGUUACCAGAGCUUGGCUACCUGGAUGGCUUCGAUGAUGGGGACCCUGCUCAACUCUGAGACUGAGGCCAACAUGCUGGGGGACGAAGAUUCCGAGGAGGACUAGGGGGAGGAUGGAGGAAGAGGAGACAGAUGCUGAGUGUGGUCCUGAGAAGAGGAGGUGGAGAGGUUCAAGAUGGGGCCUUGUGGGCUACUAGGAGAACAGGAUCUUCAUCCAGAGAGCUGAGGGGAGCUGUGGGGAGCGGUGGGGGUACUACGCAGGGGAGGAGCACGAUCGGAAGAGUCCCCUGUUUCCAGAGGUGUUCAGCCUGCGGGGAAGGGGCGGGGGGUUGCCUCCGGUGCUCCAGAACGGGGGCGGGAUUGAAGCCUGAGCUGGAAGGGAGCAAGAUGCAGGAAGUAAAGCCAGGCCCCGAGGAGUGGCUGCCAGCAACUCGUGGGACUUCCAUACCCUGGAGGCUUGAACCUCAGGGUUCUGGUGACAGCAGUGUGGGACCAGAUUUUGAACUCUGGCCCCAGCCUGACUUCCCAGGAAGGAUAGGAAGAAGAGGACCUAUAUGGGGGAGAGGUGAGAAGGGAGGGAGCACAGGCUCUCCAGGGCUGGCCUUGACCCACCCUCCUCCUCAGAGCUGUGGCAGGGGGAGAAGGAGAAGUGGGCAGCCGAAGACAGUGAGGAGGAGGAGGACGAUGAGGCCUGAGCCCCGGCUUGCCAGAGUGCCCAGCCCUGGGGGCCCUGGCACCUCCCUUCUACUGCUGGGACUGCCCCACCGCCCUGUCACCUCCCUGAGAGUCAGUGCUGGCCUCAGGACCUGGGGGGCUCCAGCUGGGCGGGCACUCCUGACUCCUGGAAGUUUUAAAAUAAAACUGGAAACUUCCACCUCA